rnacentral:lncRNA from 14 species
ACACAUAUGGCUCAGGGGGAAAAACUGCUAUGAAACAAAACACCAAGUGAUUCACCCUUCAAAAUGAGCCCAUGGCUUUGGUGACACAGUAACUUUCAAGCAUAUGUAAAGAGGUGCCAGAAUGAAUGCUGUUCUGAUUUUUAGGUUGGCAAAGCUGGCUCUGCAAACCAUGCUGAGACCUAGGAUGGGCGAGAGGCCGACCAGUCAUAGGAUGGUCUGCAGGGUCAGGACUGAGGUCAUGCAAACCUCUGAAGAAGGGGUUAGCAGGUCAGACCUAUGGUAGUCACCUUGUAUCUCAGCCUGGGUAAUAACCACAACUCCUAAACUGUGAAGGGCUGAAGUGGUGGGCAGGUUCUACAGUGAUGUUGUAGUGAAAAUAGAGGUCUUAGAAUUGUGUGUUCAUGUGCCACAGUCUGUGGACAUUUGAGGAUGAUUCUGUUUCUGUCUCCUAUCUCACUGUGCAGACACUUUAACAAACUGAGUCAUCCUGAGGGCUUUGCCAAUAUUAACUGCACAACAUGACUGCUCCCUUUCAAACGCUUUUAUGGCCUUUAUUUAGAUGGAAGACCUGCAGAAGGCAGCAUGCAGAAGUUGCAAGUCCUUUCUACAACAGCAGUCUACAAAUGGAAGCCGUGGGCCUGGAUGUUAGCACAUGACCAAAAUGCUAAAAGACGACACAAAGCUGGUCUCAGAAGAUCUAAAUGUCCAGGUCAGCAGUGAAGGAAUUCUGCUCAAGUGCAGCACACAGAGGACCCAUGCCCCACUCCGGCCACGCCCUGGGCAGUCAUUAUAUAUGGGAGGCAGAUGGGAUCAGAGCAGCUCUG